UGAAAGGCCCUGGAGACUGAAGUCUUCUGUUUAUCCACAGAGCAGCUAUAGCACUGAUAGAUGAAGUAUAAUCUUCCCCAUACCACCGUAUCAAUGUACCUUAGCCACCCACAUGGCUGAGGAUAUUUCAGGCUACGUUCAGCCCUUUGUUUCUACUAAGACUGAU
rnacentral:sRNA from 1 species